rnacentral:rRNA from 1 species
GACGAACGCUGGCGGCGUGCCUAAUACAUGCAAGUUGAGCGCUGAAGGUUGGUACUUGUACCGACUGGAUGAGCAGCGAACGGGUGAGUAACGCGUGGGGAAUCUGCCUUUGAGCGGGGGGCAACAUUUGGAAACGAAUGCUAAUACCGCAUAAAAACUUUAAACACAAGUUUUAAGUUUGAAAGAUGCAAUUGCAUCACUCAAAGAUGAUCCCGCGUUGUAUUAGCUAGUUGGUGAGGUAAGGGCUCACCAAGGCGAUGAUACAUAGCCGACCUGAGAGGGUGAUCGGCCACAUUGGGACUGAGACACGGCCCAAACUCCUACGGGAGGCAGCAGUAGGGAAUCUUCGGCAAUGGACGAAAGUCUGACCGAGCAACGCCGCGUGAGUGAAGAAGGUUUUCGGAUCGUAAAACUCUGUUGGUAGAGAAGAACGUUGGUGAGAGUGGAAAGCUCAUCAAGUGACGGUAACUACCCAGAAAGGGACGGCUAACUACGUG